CACGUAGGGGGCAAGCGUUGUCCGGAUUCAUUGGGCGUAAAGAGCUCGUAGGCGGUUCGAUAAGUCGGGUGUGAAACCUCCAGGCUCAACCUGGAGACGCCACCCGAUACUGUCGUGACUAGAGUCCAGUAGGGGAGCGUGGAAUUCCUGGUGUAGCGGUGGAAUGCGCAGAUAUCAGGAAGAACACCAACGGCGAAGGCAGCUCGCUGGGACGGUACUGACGCUGAGACGCGAAAGCGUGGGGGAGCGAACAGG
rnacentral:rRNA from 1 species